GGAGAGUCCUUGGAGCUGCUGUGGACUGGUUGGUGUCAGCCUGGGAGGCCCUCGAAGGAGAGCAGAACAAAUUUCUAUUCAAGACAGACUGGAAGAAGAAAAUAGGAUAAGAAAUUUUGUGAUUGAUCAGCAGGGUACAGGUGUGCUGUGAAAGCAAUUACAGGUACUGCGAUGGAUACUGAGCAGAAGGAGAGAAGAAGGAAGGGCUGAACAGGUGGUGCAUUAAAUCUGGAGGAAAUGCCUCGUGAGUCAUCAGUGACAGCGCAUCUGCUCCCGAUGGACAGUGCUCUGGACCCCCCCUGGCACGGGGAAUUAGCUCAAAUGGUAGAGCGCUCGCUUAGCAUGCGAGAGGUAGCGGGAUCGAUGCCCGCAUUCUCCACUUGCUGUUUGCUUUUAUCAUUUACCUUGUCAUCUCUAUGCCGUUUUUUCAGUUACCAGUUGUAUUUUUUUCUUUGCAGAAGACAAUGCUAACUUCUUUUUUUUCUCUCUCUAAAGUUGUGAUUGCUGCCUGCACAAAAAAGAAAUCGAUUUCUGUUGCUCGAUUUGUAGAACGGGCUUUGAAGAACGAAAAACAAAAGCACGCUGGCUGGCACUGCUGUUGUUUCUGAUUUUGGCUUUAUAAAUACGCCUCUACAUUGUAGGGCUUUUUAGAGUUUAGAUGCAUUUUUCCAAAGUGGUUUUAUAAGGAUUAAAAUAAAUCCAGUUUAGGGAGCAUGUGAACAGUGUUAAUGGUUUCAGCGGACAAAACAGGAUGAGUAUGAAAUUCUUCUGUGAAUAAAUGCUUUUUGGCAGAGUAAAGUAAGUGCCUUCUGCACUGAGAUUUUCUCCUGUUCUGCAAACGGUGCCUUACAUUAUUUUCUUUCACAAACUUGAAGAUCUUGUGGAAGAAAAUCUUACGUGGUGAUACGUAUAUAGCAGCGUUUUCAAAACACUGGAGAAUGCGGGCAUCGAUCCCGCUACCUCUCGCAUGCUAAGCGAGCGCUCUACCAUUUGAGCUAAUUCCCCAUUGCAAUGGUUGCUGCGGGGUACGUGUACUGGUGCUGAGUCACAGCGUGCCUGCUGUAAUUGCUCCCUUCUGUUAGCAUACUUCCUUAUGCAAAGACUCCACUAGAGCUUCUGUUGAAAUUAGGUGUUUUUUUUUUUUAAACUCGUUACAAUGCAAAUACCAGAUAACUUGUAAGCCUAGAGGUAUGCUAUCAGCAGUUACUGAAUGGCAGUGUCAUUUUUCUUUUGUAUGGUCUUCAAGUUACAUUCUUUUCUGCUAAUAUUCUAAGAAGUUGUAUGUAAACAAUAAAUACAACAUUUAUUCUUACCACAGUUUGUGGAAAAUAAAGUGUUCAUUUGUAUCAUGGAAUUAUAGAAUACUUUGAGUUAGAAGAGACCCUUGAAGGUCAUUCAGUCCUACUCCCCUACAGAGAACAAGGAUGCUUACAGCUAGAUCAGGUUGCUCAGAGCCCCAUCCAGUUUAACCUUGAGUGUCUCUGGGUACAGGGCAACCACCACCUCUCUGGGUAACUUGCGUCAGUGCCUCACUACUGCUGUUGUAGAAAACUUCUUCCUUACAUCCAAUCUAAACCUCUUCUCCUUUAGUUUGAAACCAUUUCCCCUUGUCAUAUCACAACAGAUCCUGCUAAAGAGCUUGUCCUUUUCCUUCUUAUAGCCCUCCUUUAGAUACUGAAAUGCUGCUCUCAGGUCUUCCCAGAUCGUUCUCCAGGCUGAACAAGCCCAGCUCUCUGCCUGUCCAAAUAGGGAGGUAUUCCAUUCCUUGGAUUAUUUGUGUGGCUCUUCUCUGGAUACACUGCAACAGUUCUAUGUCUCUCCUGUACUGAGGGCUCCGUAUCUAGAUACAGUACUCCAAGUGAGGCCUCAUCCACAGGGACAGGAUCAUCUCCCUUGCCCUGCUGGCCACACAUCUCUGAAUACUGUCUGUGAUAUGGUUGGUUUUCUAGGCUGUGAGGGCACGUUGCUGGUUCACGUCCAGCUUGCCAUCUACCAGUAACCCCAGAUCCUUCUCAACAGGGCUAUGCUCCAUCCUUGCAUCCCCCAGCAUGUACUGAUAGGGUUGCUGUGUCCCAAGUGCAAGACCUUACAGAUGGAUUCGUUGGACCUUGUGAUGUCCUCUUGGUGUCAUAAUCAUCCUGAUU